rnacentral:rRNA from 1 species
GAUGAACGCUGGCGGCGUGCCUAAUACAUGCAAGUCGAGCGAACAGACGAGGAGCUUGCUCCUCUGACGUUAGCGGCGGACGGGGGAGUAAAACGUGGAUAACCUACCUAUAAGACUGGGAUAACUUCGGGAAACCGGCGCUAAUACCGGAUAAUAUCUUGAACCGCAUGGUUCAAUAGUGAAAGACGGUUUUGCUGUCACUUCUAGAUGGCUCCGCGCCGCAUUAGCUAGUUGGUAAGGUAACGGCUUACCAAGGCAACGAUGCGUAGCCGACCUGAGAGGGUGAUCGGCCACACUGGAACUGAGACACGGUCCAGACUACUACGGGAGGCAGCAGUAGGGAAUCUUCCGCAAUGGGCGAAAGCCUGACGGAGCACCGCCGCGUGAGUUAUGAAGGUCUUCGGAUCGUAAAACUCUGUUAUUAGUGAAGAACAAAUGUGUAAGUAACUAUGCACGUCUUGACGGUACCUAAUCAGAAAGCCACGGCUAACUACGUG